UCCCAUUGCUCUUCCUUCAUCUUCCACCAUGAUUAUGAGGCCUCUCCAGCCACAUGGAACUCUUCUUCCUUUAGGUUAACUCCCAUGAAGAGCUUUGAAAGAAAUAAAAGGAUAUUACAUCCUCUUGGAUCAGUCUUGCAAAUGGAGAACCUGCUCUCUGGGAGAAAAGUCAAAUCAGUCCCACGGGUCUCUUCUCCCCCUAAGAAAAACUGGUUCCUUCCUUCAGAGGAAGAUGUGUUAUUCCCACCAGUAGUGGUGAGCGCCUGGAUUCCAAAAGGGUUAAGAAUUCGGAGAUGUGACCUGCCUCAUUCUGAAGAACAUGGCCCAGCAUGUGUAUGAAGCAACUAAUUGCUCCACAAACCCUGAGAAUUUGAUCACUGGCCAGAGUAACGCUGAGGAGCCAUCCUGUCUUCUGCUUGAGUGUCUUCACUCUGGGGAUUCUAGUAGGCUGGUUUCCUGGCCAGAUGUUUCUCAUCCACACCUGUGGACCUCAGGAAACCAAAGGUAACCUCUGCUGGCAAGGCCUUGAUUUCCUUUCCACCAAUGCCCAUGAGAUGUGGAAAUUGAGCGAACAUCCACACCAGGACCGUACACUCAAACAAGCAGGUUGGAGCAGGGAAACUCCAUCACAUCAUGGUGAGGCAGAGAUGCUGCAGCCCCCCAGAUCAUUGUGUGGUAGAGGUGGCAUCAUUUUACUAUGUCUCCUCCCUGCAUUCAGUGAAGUCUAUGAAGGGAGGGGUCAGUGCAGCAAGGAGCUCGCUCUUCCCCAGAGGAGAGGGUGGAAUGUUUGAGGACACAUGAAGGCAGUUACUCUGCCUACCUUUUAAAACCCUUUCCUCCUGGGGAACUGGUUUAUUCUGUACUCCUAAACAGACUAUAUCCAUUUAUUCACUCCUUCUAUAAGUAUUUGAGAAAAACCUACUAUAUGCCAAGCACUUUUCUAGGCAAAGGAAAUGCAAUAGCCCUUGCUUCCCAUAGCUUCCAGCCUGGUGGGGAAUAAAGGAAUUAAAUAAGCAAUUACAA